UGUGGGAGCUGGCUUGCCAGCGAUGGCGGACUUUCAGACAAAGUUAUGUUGAAUCUGAUGUCCUCAUCGCUGGCAAGCCAGCUCCCACA
rnacentral:antisense_RNA from 1 species